CCUACGGGAGGCAGCAGUGGGGGAUAUUGCACAAUGGGGGGAACCCUGAUGCAGCGACGCCGCGUGGGUGAAGGAGCGUUUCGGCGCGUAAAGCCCUAUCGGCAGGGAAGAAGGAGGACGGUACCUGACGAAGAAGCCCCGGCGAACUACGUGCCAGCAGCCGCGGUAAUACGUAGGGGGCAAGCGUUAUCCGGAUUUACUGGGUGUAAAGGGGGCGCGGACGGCAGCGCAAGGCAGGAGUGAAAGCCCGGGGCCCAACCCCGGGACUGCGCUUGGAACUGCGCGGCUGGAGUGCAGGAGGGGCAGGCGGAAUUCCUGGUGUAGCGGUGAAAUGCGUAGAUAUCAGGAGGAACACCGGUGGCGAAGGCGGCCUGCUGGCCUGCGACUGACGUUGAGGCCCGAAAGCGUGGGGAGCAAACAGGAUUAGAUACCCUAGUAGUC
rnacentral:rRNA from 1 species